UAUCCUCCAACCUUGGUCGCCAACCAUUGUUUUAGAAAUUUUUAAAGUUGUUGUAUUGCUCACAUGUGAACGAGGAAUAGAAACCGAAUCAAUCACCACAUACUCUAACAAAGACAAUGGAUAAGGGUUUUCGAUUCCUUCAAACUUCACCUCCUUUUUCCAUUCUAUCUCCUUCGUCUUCCUCUCACGCGACAUCAAACUACCACUUCGACGAGGAAUCAAUAACUUAUAUCUCUUAAAGUUUCUAUUAGGAUGUCCUGUUCUAGAGAAAUUGUCAAUUGAAUAAUGUUCACGUGUACAAAAUUGAGAUAGCCUUUUCUUUUUUUUUUUUUUCCCAAGUUUUAUUUUUUUUGCUUUUGCUUUGGAGGGUGAAGGUUCUGCAUAUUGAAUUGUUUGAUUCACAUGGAGCUUAUCCUGAGAUAUAAUCAUUGUGAGAAGUGGAAGUGGGUGUUAGAACUGCUGAAAAACCGUCAAAAUCUUACCAUUCAUGAGAGUCUUGGAAAGAAAGUGAAGUUGUGGAUUAUUGGAUCGAUCCACUUAGAGAAGAGUGUAGGCAAUGGGAGAGACUUCCCUCCGGUGCAGUGCAUUUUGAGUUGUAAAUCAAUAUUUGCACUGGCUUCCUUUGUCACGUGGAAGGAUACACCCUCCUCUUAAUUAAUAUUCUGCCAACGAUAUCCCCCAAUACUAUGAUGUAAAUAUAAAUUAAUUCUUUCAC